rnacentral:misc_RNA from 1 species
AAAAACUCAAAAUUCAGCUUUUAAAAGUUGUUUCCAUUGAAAAUAGGCUACAAAAUCAGAUGCAUGAUGUCGAACUUAGCAAGGAAGGAAACUCUUAAAAUUUUGUUGAUGUGGCAGUGAUGACAUGGUAGUGAUAGCAGUUGAUGUGGCUAUUUGAUGUGGGUUGUUGCUGGCCAGAUCUAUUGCUUGUAGGCUCAUAAUAAAGCUAGGUGAGCUUUUUAGAUGUGGAUGUGGAUCCGAAUGCCUAAUUUGUCUGGUUAAAGCUCCAAGGGUGUUGGAUUGAAGUUCCAAUGAUGGGAAGAGACAGAUCGGCUGACGGCGAGUUGCUAGGUUCUUUUAGUUUUUGACUUUUUUUCUUUUCUUUUUUGAAUUGUAGGUAGCAAGGAAAGAUUUCGAAGGAUAAAAAACAUCGUGGGAAUCUAAGGAAUGAGAAGAUUUGAAUAGGAAGUCUGAUAAUUUUGCAGAGAGCGAUGGAAAUUUAGCUCGAUUUUAGGCUCUUAUACCAAAAUUCAUGUAGAAUAAAUAAAGAAGAAUAAAUAACUAGGAAAAACUUAGGAUCAAUCCUUAAAAAGAGAACUAAUUUUCAAAAUA